GUGCUUGCUUCAGCAGCACAUAUACUAAAAUUGGAACAAUACAGACAAGAUUAGCAUGGCCCUGAACAAGGAUGACAUGCAAAUUCGUGAAGUGUUCAUAUUUUUU
rnacentral:snRNA from 1 species